AUGAACUUUGGGUUCAGCUUGGUUUUCCUUGUCAUUAUUUGAAAAGGUGUGCCCAGUGUGAGGUGAAGCUAGUGGAGUCUAGGGGAGGCUUAAUGCAGCCUGAAAGGUCCGUGAUACUCUCCUGUGCUGCCUCUGGAUGCACUGUCAGUGACUACUGGUUGGCCUGGGUUUGCCAGGCUCCAAAGAAGGGGCUGGAUGGGGGGGGGCAUUAAUUUUUCAUGGUGGUGGUAGCACCUCCUAUGCAGACACCUUGAAGAAGUGGGCUGGACAUAACAUAUUCAGAAUCAAUAUUUAGAGAUUCUAAUCCUUAAAGACAUCACUUUGACCAAGUAUAUAUGCAACAUGUUAUGGAG